GCGGAGCGGCGCGGCGCAGCGGCCUCGCAAGUCCCUUGGAAGAGGGCGCCGGAGAGGGUGAGAGCCCCGUGGCGAGGCGCGGUGUGUUGUGCGAUUUGCGUUCGAAGAGUCGGGCUGUUUGAGAUCGCAGCCCAAAGCGGGAGGUAAAUUUCUUCCAAAGCUAAGUAUGGGCGGGAGACCGAUAGUGGAAAAGUAGAGCGAUCGAAAGAUGAAAAGAACUUUGAAAAGAGAGUGAAAAGGACCUGAAAUUGUUGAAAGGGAAGAGAUUCGCGGCAGUGGGAACGGUGCGGCGUGGCGAACAACGCGACGCGGCACGGUCUGCAUGGCUUGCCGGCGCCGGAGACGGUCCGCGGAACAAGGUAGGCAUCUCUGCGGAGUGCUGUUAUAGAUCUGGGGACGGUGCGGGCGCGCGGGGAGCGAGGAGGUUAGGAGAUGCAGGCGAAAUGGCGCG
rnacentral:rRNA from 1 species